rnacentral:rRNA from 1 species
AGAGAUUGAAGCCGCNNGGCGGAUGUCGAUUUGUCCGGGGAUAUAGCGNCAGACUGGUGAGGAACACNUGAGUAAUAUACCUCCAAGUUGGGAAUANCCUUGCGAAAGUGAGGGUAAUACCCGAUGUGUUUACGGCGGCGCAAGCCGCUGCAAGUAAAGGUGCNCCGGCGAAAGCCGGGGUGCCGCUUGAAGAUUAGCUCGCGUCCUAUCAUCUAGUUGGUGGGGUAAUGGCCUACCAAGGCUUUUGACGGGUAGCUGGCCUGAGAGGGUGGUCAGCCACACGGGGACUGAGACACUGCCCCGACUCCUACGGGAGGCUGC